GGCACAAGCAGAGUACGGAAGAUGGCAUCGGGACUCAUGAGCAGAAAGGAAACUAAUACAAAUUGAAAUGCAGCGAUAGGACAUGCUUUAUAAGGAGCUGCUACUCGCUACCUUGGAAACCUUGAGAAGAGCUUCCAAUUCUAGUUUCUCGCUCACGCUCUCAAGUUAUAGGAGCUACUUAUGUGAAGGAGGUGAGCAGGUUUCAGAGACUAUCACUGAUGGUAGUAAAUCUUCAGCACUUCAUUUUCCAAAUUCUGCUUCCAGCUGAUUCAGGAUGGCAGUGUGCAGUUCAUGCAGCCACCCUCUUUUUAGAAUGAAUAAAUGUACCAUCAGGCACAUUUUGCACAAUCCUCCAAGACUUCUGUACAUUCUGAAACCUCUAGGAUCUGGACGAGAAAACUUACACAUGCCAAUUUUUAUCAAAUC